ACCUUACCAUUUAAAAAGAAAAUGAAAACAAAAAAUGGAGGAAUAUAUGGGAUUUAUGGAUAACGUAGUCUUAGAUACACUAGGUCUGAAAUGAAAGCUUGUUUCUUAUUUGACCAGAACCAUAAGGAGCUAAUCAACUGGGUUUUUUUAGUUGCUCUAUGGGGUGAAAUUUUUAAAGAAAAGUUUUUCGAGACAAAAAUGUAAUUUCAAAAUGACAUCGUUGCCAAGCCAAAAAGAGAGGAAGGUGGGAGGAGGUUUCUCAGUCAGCUUCUCCCAGACAAUUUUUCAGAUGUAAUUAAAAAUAGUACCAGUAGUAUGAAGAGCAACAACAAUAUCAACAGCAGCAAAAACAACAACAGUAGUAACAGCAAGAAUAAUGACAUGUCAAGCAAAGAAGUUUGAAAAAUAACCAGCAGCAAAUUAUGCAUUGCCAACUGCCACCUCCACCACCCAAAUAAAACAUAAUAAUGGCAAUGACAAUAUUUCUAACUGUAUUAAAAAUUCAUCCAAAAAUAUUUUGUCAAAAUAACAAAUGUCUUUGAUGUCAUCCCAUUAGAGAACAAGCAUGAACAUUUAAAAGAGGUAGAGAAACAUAUAAACCCACUGGAACAGGGACAAGUUACACUUAAUAUACCACAACACCUCUUGGGCCAAACAGAAAAGAAAGCAAUUAUGUAUAGAUGCUUGUUGACGAAAAGACGCAAGAUUAAGCACAUACCUUCAAACCAAGCUUGAAAGAAUAUCUGGCCUGACAUCAGUUUUGUGAGCCAUGCUCACAAAUUUAGAUAUAUUAGAGUAAUUUUCCACUUUGAAAUUUUAACACAGAUGCACUCCACUAUCGCACAAAAAAAAAAGAAAAAAGGAAGAAACCAGAAAUUUUCACAUUUUUACCAAUGUACUCAGGACAGAUAGUGAUCCAAGUAACAUCAUACACAUACUACAAGAACUAGAUUUCCAGUGAGUGGUUUUAGAUGAUCCUAGAGCACUUCUAGGAAUAAAGAGAUUUCAAAAAGAAAAUUGUAUUCAAGUGGGGUUAGAAAUUUUGAUUCAUGUCAAACCUGAGACACUCAACAAAAUCCAACCAAAUAAGGCUUUCAGGAAGGUUGCAACUACAGGUAGUUGUGGAAGGCUGAAGAUCACAAUACUGCAACUUAAGAAAUACAAACCAGCUCAAGGCUGCCUGUCCAAGCAACAAAGACUGAUAACUGAUAGGAAACCUCCACUGUUGCCAACACUACAACUGCAACAACAGCAACCAGAAACAACAGUGACAAAAAAGAACAAAACAAACACCAUCAACAUGAAACAUCAUGCCACCAACAGAAAGGCCCCCAAACAUCAAAACAAAAGAUAAUUACCCCUAAGACAAGAUCCUUCCUGCUCAGACAUGUUAUGUGGCAAAGUGGAUGGUGAGGAGCCUAAAUGGC